rnacentral:rRNA from 1 species
UGAGGAAUUUUCCGCAAUGGGCGAAAGCCUGACGGAGCGACGCCGUGUGGGUGAUGAAGGCCUUCGGGUCUUAAAGCCCUGUCAGCGAGAAAGAUAUUGACGGUACUCGCAGAGGAAGCCCCGGCUAACUACGUGCCAGCAGCCGCGGUAAUACGGGGGGUGCAAGCGUUGUUCGGAAUUAUUGGGCGUAAAGAGCGUGUAGGCGGUUUGUUAAGUCUGUUGUGAAAGCCCUGGGCUCAACCCAGGAAGUGCACUGGAUACUGGCAGACUUGAAUACGGGAGAGGGCAGUGGAAUUCCUAGUGUAGGAGUGAAAUCCGUAGAUAUUAGGAGGAACACCGGUGGCGAAGGCGGCUGCCUGGACCGAUAUUGUCGCUGAGACGCGAAAGCGUGGGUAGCAAACAGG